UUAGGAAUUUUGCGCAAUGGGGGAAACCCUGACGCAGCAACGCCGCGUGAGUGAUGAAGGCCUUCGGGUUGUAAAGCUCUUUUAGUGGGGAAAAAUCAAAUGAUGGUACCCAAAGAAAAAGCACCGGCUAACUACGUGCCAGCAGCCGCGGUAAUACGUAGGGUGCGAGCGUUACUCGGAAUUACUGGGCGUAAAGCGCGUGUAGGUGGCUUGUUAAGUCCGAUGUGAAAUCCCUGAACUCAAUUCAGGA
rnacentral:rRNA from 1 species